GAUGAACGCUGGCGGCGUGCCUAAUACAUGCAAGUCGAGCGAAUGGAUUAAGAGCUUGCUCUUAUGAAGUUAGCGGCGGACGGGUGAGUAACACGUGGGUAACCUGCCCAUAAGACUGGGAUAACUCCGGGAAACCGGGGCUAAUACCGGAUAACAUUUUGAACCGCAUGGUUCGAAAUUGAAAGGCGGCUUCGGCUGUCACUUAUGGAUGGACCCGCGUCGCAUUAGCUAGUUGGUGAGGUAACGGCUCACCAAGGCAACGAUGCGUAGCCGAACUGAGAGGGUGAUCGGCCACACUGGGACUGAGACACGGCCCAGACUCCUACGGGAGGCAGCAGUAGGGAAUCUUCCGCAAUGGACGAAAGUCUGACGGAGCAACGCCGCGUGAGUGAUGAAGGCUUUCGGGUCGUAAAACUCCGUUGUUAGGGAAGAACAAGUGCUAGUUGAAUAAGCUGGCACCUUGACGGCACCUAACCAGAAAGCCACGGCUAACUACGUGCCAGCCGCCGCGGUAA
rnacentral:rRNA from 1 species